rfam:Ictidomys tridecemlineatus contig046595, whole genome shotgun sequence.
GGGGUUGUGGCUCAGAGGUAGAGCACUCGCCUAGCAUGCAUGAGGCACUGGGUUCAAUCCUCAGCACCA